GCCUCUAUAGCUCAGUGGCAGAGCACUGGUCUUGUAAACCAGGGGUCGAGAGUUCGAUCCUCUCUGGAGGCA
rnacentral:tRNA from 1 species